AUAAUUACCAUUUUAUCUAUAAACUAAACUAUUAUUAACUAUCCAACUCUAUUUGAUAUAUGAAAGAUUUAUGUGUUGGUCUAAAGGGACCAGCAUUUUGCUAUGUAGCAGGAGGUCGGGUUGGGUCGAGUCACGUUUGAAAUUGCGUGAGGUUGGAUUGUGUUGAGUCAUGUUUAAAGUGAUGUGAGAUAGAUUGGAUCGAAUCAUAAUCUAAACCCGUAGGAACGAUAUCUUUACGCUUUAAGCAUUUGGUUUGGAAACAAGGAGGAAUAAGUAUUUGUUUCCUUCGUUGUUCCUAAACGUAAAUUUUCGGUUCCGAGAACAGUAGCUCUCGGGUCCCUAGAAUAAACUGAUAUAACCCGCGGGUAUAAGUUUGAAAUGAUUAUUCCACCUUUUUUUUUGGAACAAGCUUGUUCCCAAGUGGGAACAUGAUUAAUUAAAGUUUAGAUUUAAUUUUAAUUAUGAUAUUAAAUAAUUAAUUAAUCUAAUUAAUAUAUUUAAAUUAUUAUUCAUUGUUUAAAUAAUAAAAUAAUUAAUUAAUUUAUUACUUAUAAUUAAUGAGCUCAUUAAUUAUUAAUAAUUUAAUGUGUUUAUCCAUAAACUAAUAUUUAUAUUAAUCAACUAUUAUUAUUUUUAUUAAUCUAACUAUUUUUUUUUUUACCAGUUAUCUAACUAAAAUACCUUACUAACUAGUUAAAAAGGUAAGUAAUUUUUUAUAUUUGAUAAAUUAGUUUUUAUUAUCUUAUACAAUAUUCAUAGCUAAUAAAUUUAUUAAUUUAUUAAUUAUUUUUUAUUAAUAUUUUGGUAUUAAUUAAUUAAUUAGAUAAAAUAUAUUUAAUUUAAAAUUAUAACUCUUAUUUCUAAUGUUUCAAUCUAAUCAUUCAAAUAUCAUUUACCUCAUUCUCAAGAAUAAUCUAAUUUCUUUUAAACGUAAAAUUAGUCUAAUUUCUACGAAAACUUGUAUUUAUUUCUGAAAUAAACCUUUAUUAUUUAUAUCGAAACCAAAUACAGCCUAAUAAAUGAAGUAAUUGCAUUUUUUUAAUAAUUUAAAUGUUUAAAAUUAAUGAUGGGUGCGGACGAUCUGAUAUUAAGUGAAAAUCUGACUAAUGUUUUAAUUUUAAUUUUGAUGGACAACGAUUAGAUGAG
rnacentral:lncRNA from 1 species